rnacentral:rRNA from 1 species
GAUGAACGCUGGGCGUGCCUACUACAUGCAAGUCGACCGCAUAGCGAAAGGUGCUUGCCCCUUUCAAGUGAGUGGCGAACGGGUGAGUAACACGUGGACAACCUGCCUCACGGCUGGGGAUAACAUUUGGAAACAGAUGCUAAUACCGAAUAAAACUUAGUGUCGCAUGACACAAAGUUAAAAGGCGCUUCGGCGUCACCUAGAGAUGGAUCCGCGGUGCAUUAGUUAGUUGGUGGGGUAAAGGCCUACCAAGACAAUGAUGCAUAGCCGAGUUGAGAGACUGAUCGGCCACAUUGGGACUGAGACACGGCCCAAACUCCUACGGGAGGAUGCAGUAGGGAAUCUUCCACAAUGGGCGAAAGCCUGAUGGAGCAACGCCGCGUGUGUGAUGAAGGCGUUCGGGUCGUAAAGCACUGUUGUAUGGGAAGAACAGCUAGAAUAGGAAAUGAUUUUAGUUUGACGGUACCAUACCAGAAAGGGACGGCUAAAUACGUG